rnacentral:rRNA from 1 species
AGCGAACGCUGGCGGCAGGCCUAAACAUGCAAGUCGAACGCCGUAGCAAUACGGAGUGGCAGACGGGUGAGUAACACGUGGGAACGUGCCUUUUGGUUCGGAACAACCCAGGGAAACUUGGGCUAAUACCGGAUAAGCCCUUCGGGGAAGGAUUUAUCGCCAGAAGAUCGGCCCGCGUCUGAUUAGCUAGUUGGUGGGGUAACGGCCCGACCAAGGCUACGAUCAGUAGCUGGUCUGAGAGGANGAUCAGCCACACUGGGACGUGAGACACGGCCCAGACUCCUACGGGAGGCAGCAGUUAGGAAUCUUGGACAAUGGGCGCAAGCCUGAUCCAGCCAUGCCGCGUGAGUGAUGAAGG